UACGGAGGGUGCGAGCGUUGUCCGGAAUCACUGGGCGUAAAGGGCGCGUAGGCGGCGCGAGCAGUCGAUCGUGAAAGUCCGGAGCUCAACUCCGGAUCGGCGGUCGAUACUCUCGUGCUUGAGCACUGUAGAGGCAGAUGGAAUUCCGGGUGUAGCGGUGGAAUGCGUAGAGAUCCGGAAGAACACCGGUGGCGAAGGCGGUCUGCUGGGCAGUAGCUGACGCUGAGGCGCGACAGCGUGGGGAGCAAACAGG
rnacentral:rRNA from 1 species